GGGUUGUGAGGUUAAGUGACUAAGCGUACACGGUGGAUGCCCUGGCAGUCAGAGGCGAUGAAGGACGUGCUAAUCUGCGAUAAGCGUCGGUAAGGUGAUAUGAACCGUUAUAACCGGCGAUUUCCGAAUGGGGAAACCCAGUGUGAUUCGUCACACUAUCAUUAACUGAAUCCAUAGGUUAAUGAGGCGAACCGGGGGAACUGAAACAUCUAAGUACCCCGAGGAAAAGAAAUCAACCGAGAUUCCCCCAGUAGCGGCGAGCGAACGGGGAGGAGCCCAGAGCCUGAAUCAGUGUGUGUGUUAGUGGAAGCGUCUGGAAAGGCGCGCGAUACAGGGUGACAGCCCCGUACACAAAAAUGCACAUGCUGUGAGCUCGAUGAGUAGGGCGGGACACGUGGUAUCCUGUCUGAAUAUGGGGGGACCAUCCUCCAAGGCUAAAUACUCCUGACUGACCGAUAGUGAACCAGUACCGUGAGGGAAAGGCGAAAAGAACCCCGGCGAGGGGAGUGAAAAAGAACCUGAAACCGUGUACGUACAAGCAGUGGGAGCACAGAGCAAUCUGUGUGACUGCGUACCUUUUGUAUAAUGGGUCAGCGACUUAUAUUCUGUAGCAAGGUUAACCGAAUAGGGGAGCCGAAGGGAAACCGAGUCUUAACUGGGCGUUAAGUUGCAGGGUAUAGACCCGAAACCCGGUGAUCUAGCCAUGGGCAGGUUGAAGGUUGGGUAACACUAACUGGAGGACCGAACCGACUAAUGUUGAAAAAUUAGCGGAUGACUUGUGGCUGGGGGUGAAAGGCCAAUCAAACCGGGAGAUAGCUGGUUCUCCCCGAAAGCUAUUUAGGUAGCGCCUCGUGAAUUCAUCUCCGGGGGUAGAGCACUGUUUCGGCAAGGGGGUCAUCCCGACUUACCAACCCGAUGCAAACUGCGAAUACCGGAGAAUGUUAUCACGGGAGACACACGGCGGGUGCUAACGUCCGUCGUGAAGAGGGAAACAACCCAGACCGCCAGCUAAGGUCCCAAAGUCAUGGUUAAGUGGGAAACGAUGUGGGAAGGCCCAGACAGCCAGGAUGUUGGCUUAGAAGCAGCCAUCAUUUAAAGAAAGCGUAAUAGCUCACUGGUCGAGUCGGCCUGCGCGGAAGAUGUAACGGGGCUAAACCAUGCACCGAAGCUGCGGCAGCGACGCUUAUGCGUUGUUGGGUAGGGGAGCGUUCUGUAAGCCUGCGAAGGUGUGCUGUGAGGCAUGCUGGAGGUAUCAGAAGUGCGAAUGCUGACAUAAGUAACGAUAAAGCGGGUGAAAAGCCCGCUCGCCGGAAGACCAAGGGUUCCUGUCCAACGUUAAUCGGGGCAGGGUGAGUCGACCCCUAAGGCGAGGCCGAAAGGCGUAGUCGAUGGGAAACAGGUUAAUAUUCCUGUACUUGGUGUUACUGCGAAGGGGGGACGGAGAAGGCUAUGUUGGCCGGGCGACGGUUGUCCCGGUUUAAGCGUGUAGGCUGGUUUUCCAGGCAAAUCCGGAAAAUCAAGGCUGAGGCGUGAUGACGAGGCACUACGGUGCUGAAGCAACAAAUGCCAUGCUUCCAGGAAAAGCCUCUAAGCAUCAGGUAACAUCAAAUCGUACCCCAAACCGACACAGGUGGUCAGGUAGAGAAUACCAAGGCGCUUGAGAGAACUCGGGUGAAGGAACUAGGCAAAAUGGUGCCGUAACUUCGGGAGAAGGCACGCUGAUAUGUAGGUGAAGCGACUUGCUCGUGGAGCUGAAAUCAGUCGAAGAUACCAGCUGGCUGCAACUGUUUAUUAAAAACACAGCACUGUGCAAACACGAAAGUGGACGUAUACGGUGUGACGCCUGCCCGGUGCCGGAAGGUUAAUUGAUGGGGUCAGCGCAAGCGAAGCUCUUGAUCGAAGCCCCGGUAAACGGCGGCCGUAACUAUAACGGUCCUAAGGUAGCGAAAUUCCUUGUCGGGUAAGUUCCGACCUGCACGAAUGGCGUAAUGAUGGCCAGGCUGUCUCCACCCGAGACUCAGUGAAAUUGAACUCGCUGUGAAGAUGCAGUGUACCCGCGGCAAGACGGAAAGACCCCGUGAACCUUUACUAUAGCUUGACACUGAACAUUGAGCCUUGAUGUGUAGGAUAGGUGGGAGGCUUUGAAGUGUGGACGCCAGUCUGCAUGGAGCCGACCUUGAAAUACCACCCUUUAAUGUUUGAUGUUCUAACGUUGACCCGUAAUCCGGGUUGCGGACAGUGUCUGGUGGGUAGUUUGACUGGGGCGGUCUCCUCCUAAAGAGUAACGGAGGAGCACGAAGGUUGGCUAAUCCUGGUCGGACAUCAGGAGGUUAGUGCAAUGGCAUAAGCCAGCUUGACUGCGAGCGUGACGGCGCGAGCAGGUGCGAAAGCAGGUCAUAGUGAUCCGGUGGUUCUGAAUGGAAGGGCCAUCGCUCAACGGAUAAAAGGUACUCCGGGGAUAACAGGCUGAUACCGCCCAAGAGUUCAUAUCGACGGCGGUGUUUGGCACCUCGAUGUCGGCUCAUCACAUCCUGGGGCUGAAGUAGGUCCCAAGGGUAUGGCUGUUCGCCAUUUAAAGUGGUACGCGAGCUGGGUUUAGAACGUCGUGAGACAGUUCGGUCCCUAUCUGCCGUGGGCGCUGGAGAACUGAGGGGGGCUGCUCCUAGUACGAGAGGACCGGAGUGGACGCAUCACUGGUGUUCGGGUUGUCAUGCCAAUGGCACUGCCCGGUA
rnacentral:rRNA from 1 species